UAAGAGUGAAAUAGGCACUGAAAAUGUCUAUAGGCCUAAUCUAUGGUAUUAUGACUCUCUUAAGUUUCUAGAGGAACAUGUUAUACCAAGAAAAAACAAAUCGUCGCUACCAAAUACAGAAGUUGUUGUAAACACAAGUACUGUUUCAACACAGAUAUUAAAUUAUAGGAAGAAGAAUUAGAUAAUAAUGAAAUGACAACCGAAAUCGGAU